AACGUAGGACGCAAGCGUUGCUCGGAAUUACUGGGCGUAAAGCGCACGUAGGUGGAUUGUUAAGUCAGGGGUGAAAUCCCGGAGCUCAACUCCGGAACUGCCUUUGAUACUGGCGAUCUCGAGUCCGGGAGAGGUGAGUGGAACUGCGAGUGUAGAGGUGAAAUUCGUAGAUAUCCGCAAGAACACCAGUGGCGAAGGCGGCUCACUGGCCCGGUACUGACGCUGAGGUGCGAAAGCGUGGGGAGCAAACAGG
rnacentral:misc_RNA from 1 species